UUAACGCUGAUCAUGUGUGGGCAGCUUUUAGGGUCAUGAUAUCUCUGCCUCUGAUUGGGAACUUUUUUUUAAUCUGUCUCUUGUGAGUCUCAACUUUAUGUAAGAGUAAUACUAAAUAUCUGGUUAAUUUUUUUUUUCCUCUUACAGACCAUAAACCAUUAACCUGAGAAUCCUUUCUGACCUGAUUCUCAUAUCCAUAUCUGGUCACUCAGGACACUCUGGAAUUUCAAUUUCUCAUGUCAGCAGUUACCGUAUGGUCCUACGGUCCUUACAUAAGAGGCCUCUCCAUCUCAAAGUCAUGGGCUGAAUUUCAGUCCCGGUAUGUGACUGGUUCUCUGUGAGAAUCUGGAGCCUCAGUCUGAACAGUUCUCAUUUGCAAUCGAUCAGAGCUGAGAUAGCUCAUCCCCAUCGACCUCUGCAACACGACAAUACAGAAGGGUCUGAAGACAGCAGGCCGAGCAGAUGGAUGGUGAGGCAGGACAGACCUGCAGAGGGUCAGCUGGUCAAACACCCCGCUGUUCCAUCGUGUCACACACACAUGAAGUGUGAACCCCCCCACAGCCACCACCCCGCUACAUCACGCCACAGAACAUUAACCUCACACACCAUAUUCAACCCCUCUGUGUACAGUUCUACUUUAAAGGACCGUAUCAGUAAUGUUUUGGCACAUUUAGUUCAAAUUGCAUAUAUCCUUCUGUACUGUUAAACAGUUUCCGAAGGAUGCAAUGUUGUUUUACAUUUGUUAAUGUUUUAAUACCUUGCGAUAGCAACUGGUUUCCAUUUAUUCCACUACAGUGUGAAACUCAAAAAUAUUCUU